GGAAAUGUCAUAACAACAGAGGCUCCAUCAGGGCUUACUGGUAGCCCACUACUGGAAAUCACAUGUCCCAAAUAUUUAACUUGAGAGAGAGAAAAUUGCAAUUUAUCUCUGGACAAUCUUUGUCCCUUAAAGCAAGCUGUUGUGACAAGUGGACAAUGUCUUCUCUGCCUGUUGUCAAGGAGGAUGAAAGUGACAAAUCAUCCACAUAUUGACCAGGAUAGUUCUGCUAGAAAAUUUGAUAUCAUGUAAAUGUCUUUUUAAUAUUUGAGAAAAGUAAGUAGGACACUUGGAAUAUCCUGAAGCAAGAUUGUCCAUGUGUACUGGUGAUUUUCUCAAGCAAAGGCAAAAAGAUAUUGGCUGUUCUGCUCUACAGGAAUUUGUGGAAGUUCAAACUUAAGAAUGAUGAUUUAGGGUGCCUGAUGGAAGACAUUUUUAAGCAGGAAAGCAUUCAAGGUGUGGCCUCAGUGCUUCUAUACUCAGAUCCAGGAGCAAAGAAAUGACUUAAAGCUGGAAUUUAUGUUUAAACAG
rnacentral:lncRNA from 1 species